CUCUGCUCCUGCUAUGCUCCAACCUCACUCUUCCCUGAUUUCUCCUCCUGGCAUUCCAGGCUCCUGGACCCCAGUAUCUUCUUCAGACUGAGGAUUUGACUUCUGCUUGGUCUCCUAGGGGAAUGGCUAUUUCUGGCCCAUAACAAAGAAAGGGUCGUCAGCAGGACACAGCCAUGAGCCUCGGCGUUUAUUCCUUCCUCUCUGGAGUGCCUUCCCCUACUACAGAGAUUUGAAAGCUUGAACUACAUUUCCCACAGCCCUUUGCAGUCAGGGUCCUGGUUACAAAAUCAGUUCUGUAAGAGAAGCACUUACAUGACGUUAGAAGACAGAAGGCAAACAGGAAAGACCAGUGUCCAGCCUCCUGCUCCAGUCGCAGCAGUGGCUGGAUUCAGCAUCCCCAUGGCCAGCCAUCAGCUUUCUGUGUCAAAAGGCAGCUGUCUCUACGACUGAGGAUUUAGGCCCACGGGCACUGGCAGCUCCCUAAUCCCAUCUUCCCGAUUCCCUGGGUCACAGCUAUGACAACGUGUUCCUGGAGUUAAUUUCCUGUUCCUUGGUAUUCUGGUAGUCAUUCCUGGAGACCCAGACUGGAAUUGAGCCAUCAGCCUCUUCAGAUGAUUUUGUAAAUCUUUAAGUGCCUGUAUUAAAUCCCUUCCUGCUUAAAGUACCUGGCAUGGUUUCUGUUCCCUACACUCAACCUGGACUAGCAAGGAGUCAGUAACAGCUGGAGCAGGUAAAUCCUAAAUCAGAGCUACUGUCUGGGCAUCUCUAAAAUAUAAAUUGCCCCAAGGUCUAAGCGACUUGUCCUGGAAGUAGACGUUUUCGACCUCGAUCACCACUGUCCUACAGAGCUGGACCAAGUGAUACCUGCCUUCAUUUUAUGUGAUGGUCUUUAUACACCAGCUGUUCAGAAUUCUUGAACCCCAGAAUAAAGGGUUUAAGGAGCCCAGCAGCCCUAGGAACUAACACAGGCACCGACUGCACCAAGCAGGAUUCUGGAAGCUGAGGUUACAGUGGAGAAGGAAACAGACCAUGGAAUCUGUGAAAGGAGGUAGAAAGUCCAGAUCUGGCCGGGCACAGUGGCUCAUGCCUGUAAUACCAGCACUUUGGGAGG
rnacentral:lncRNA from 1 species